GCUAUUAUAGGCAUACAAAGCUAUGUAGUUUUUAUGUUCAUAGCUUAUAAAUAACACUUGCAGUGGAAUGUUUUGUAAGAAUAUUAAAACUUGAGUUAAGAUAAGCAAAGCACUGAGCCCACUUUGGAUGAGGGAAGUGAACAAAAAUAUUAGGCAUUUGAUGGGUUAAAAGGAUAUAGAUGAAACUGUUUCAACAGGAUGGCUGUGGGACUCAGGAAGCUGGCAGGGGCUGUGUCAUACCCACACGAUGACUUCUUCAAGAGCCCAUCCUGCUUCUCCACCACUCGAGAAGUCCUCUCUAGUUCUGACUGUGCCGUGACUAUUGGGCUUCUCUGCCAUGUGGCAUUUUAUUUUCUGGGGGCAGGCCUCAUGGAAGCUGACAUCUACUAGACCCCAAGACACUGUGUUAUAGGGACAGGAAAGAAGAUCACUCUGGAAUGUUCUCAAACCAUGGGCCAUGACAGAAUGUACUGGUAUCGACAAGAUCCAGGAAUGGAACUAAAGCUCAUCCAUUAUUCCCAUGGAGUUAAUUUCACAGAAGAGGGAGAUCUUUCCUCUGAGUCAACAGUCUCCAGGAUAAGGAAGGAGAAUUUUCUCCUGACCCUGGAGUCUGCCAGCUCCUCACCUACCUCUCGGUACCUCUGUGCCAGCAGUGAAUACACAGUGCUUAAUGGACACCUACAUUCUGCACAGAAAGGCUCACCUCCAAGAUGAGGACAUCUUGCCUUCAGAAACCUCAUCUUAAACUACAGAAACCCGUGCAAAUAUUCCCAGACUCCUCAGCAUUAAGGGACCACCAGUGUGCUUGAAGUAACAGUCUAGACUAAAGGCUAUCUCUGGCUCAGUCUCUACCAAGUUGAGAAAUGAUCCAGCCCCACAAUCACCAUGGCUGACUUCUUUCUUGCAUCUAGCUUCUGCUGUUCAAUUGAGCUUGCAUGAAUUUUAUCCUUCACGAUAAAUGUGAUAAUAUUUGACAGUUGCCUUAUGGCUGGCUGAAGAAAGUCUUUGUCAGCUAAGAAACAGGAAAAGGAUCCUCUGAUUUUCUGCAUAGGCUGUCUUUAUCUACAUGAGUUUUUGUAGUUUAAGAUGAGGUUUCUGAAGGCAAGAUGUCCUCAUCUUAGAGGUGACCCUGGUUCAUGUUUCCUUCCUCAUGUUAAACUAGUUCCUUCAUACACAGCCUUACAAGUCCCUGCCCUUUCCUGACCCCAGCCCUGCACUUGACGACUUCAGUUCCUCAAUCUAUGACUUUGAACUUGGAAUAAAUUUUUGUUUUCACUUGGAAUAAGUGAUUAAUGAUGAUUUGCACUAAUCUCCCUCUAAAUAAAUGUAAUUUUAGCUAAAUCUAAUGAGGCAGAAGGAAGAGAAAAGGCUCCAACUUUGGCAAAGAAUAGUCUUUAACAAUGUCCCUGGAUUCAGCCCUAAAUCUCUUUGGAGACUACUCUUGCCAUUGGGAGACUAUUCCACAGAUAGAUGAUUCUUCUGUCUUAGGUAUGCUGAAUCUCAGGGAAAUGUUCUCUAUCCGCAUGAGAUCAGACCUGGGACCUUAAAUAGAUUCAUUUUUCACAAAAGCAUAGACUGCUAUGGGGCCCUAGGUGUCCUGAGAAUGGGUAGGUGCUGAGCUCAGAUGUGAAACCUCUGUUUUGAGGUUACCAAAAAGUAAAGUCACAGAGUCUCUGUCUUGGUUUUACCUCCUUAAAAAGUAGCUUUACUAUGUUGGAAAAUAAUCUAGAGAACAUAAUACAUAUUUUACUAUAAAAGUCUGCUUAUUCAUUCUUCUUUUCUAUUUGUAUUCUACGAUACUAGCCAUUCUUCACUCUUCUUUGUGGGCGCUUUCUAUUCUCAUUUUCCUUAUUUUGUCCUUAUUUCUGGACUUUUAAUUUUUUGCCUCUUAACCUACACGUACAUCUUAGACAACAUCAUCAACUCUAUUACUUGAAGUAUAUGUCUCAUUAGUUUCAAGUUAGCUGCCUACUAGAUAUUUCUACCUCUGUAUUUCGUAGGCUACUCAACUCAACUUGUUCCCAACAGAGUUCAUCAUCCUCCCAAUACCAUGUCCUCUUUUGGAGACACCAUUGUCUUGGGAGGCUCAUCUCCAGUAGUCAGAUGUCCUUAGCAAACACCUAAAGGAUUAAAAACCCUUCCUUACUGAACUCUUAGCCUUAUGCCUUACCCUUCUGGCCUUUCUUCUAAAAGUGGUAUGCAUCAUAGGUUGGCCCUCUGUAUUCAUGAGUUCCACAUCCCUGUAUUCAACCAGCCACAGAUCAAAAACGUUUUUUUCAAAAAUUAUGUCUAUACUGAACACAUACAGACUUCUUCCUUGUCAUUAUUCUAACAAAUACGGUAUGACAACUAUUUACAUAGCAUUUAUUAUAUUUGGUACUAUUAAUUAUUUACAGGUGACUUAAAGUAUAUGCAUAGAUUACAUGCAAAUACUAUAUACCAUUUUUCAGCAGGGACUUGGGCAUUUGUGGAUUUCGUUACCCUUGGAAGGUCCUGGAACCAAUUCCCCAAGAUACUGAGGGAUAACUGUAGACAAAUGUGAUUACACUACUGGAUCCCCUCACAAUUUCUCCAUGUUUCUCCUCCAUAUUCAAGAUAAAAUUUAAAUUCCUUCACCUGGCUUAAUGGUAUUUUGUGAUCUGGACUCCGGAAAUUAGCUUACCUUGAACACCUUAACCUGGCUGUUUUUCAUCCUGGGAGUACUGAACUUCUGACCAUUUUCUAUAGACCAUGUUCUCUUACCCAUCUGAGACCCUGUACCUGCUGUCACUGUAUUUACGAAGUCUGCACUUCUUGUCUACAGGGCAGACUUCUACUCCAGCCUCUCAUUAAUGACUAUGUUGACAGAAAAAGUCUUAAUCUGCUUCAGAUUGUUCCUGUCCUCCAAAUAGUGUUGUGGGAGGCUCUCUUCAUCACCAUCCUCCUUAUUUUCCAGUAUAUAUGUCUUUUUGGUGCAUGGUUUUCCUGGAGCAUUUUAUUUAAGAAUGGUCACAGGGUGUAAAUCAGACAGAAACAAAACAAACCAAAGUCUUUGAGAGGAGAUGAAUGUCACCCCUGCUGAGUAUUUUUGAAUGCGAUGCUGGAAGCUGAUCCAGUGAAAUCCUUCCUAUUCUCUGAUGAAAGGAAGAUCUAGCUUUGACACUGGAACAGAUAAUGAAGAAUGCUUCCCAGAAAGAUGCCAGGUGAAUUGCGGGGUUCAGUGUAAAUAAAUAAGUGACAUGUUUAUGUUAAUAGAUAUUACUUAUAUAUGAGCAAACCUGGUCUUGCUUUAUUU